rnacentral:lncRNA from 1 species
AUGUGGAACCUAAAAACUCUGCAAGGAGUACAGCUAUGGAUGUCAUUAAUCCUAGCUUAUGUUGUUUUUACAGAUCCAGUGCAGGACUUUCAUCUUAAAAGACUGCCAACCAAGCAAUAUGAGAGAAUGCUGGUGAGGGGCAGGCAAGAAAGAAAGAAAGAAAGAAAGAAAGAAAGAAAGAAAGGAAGGAAGGAAAGAGAAAGAAAGAAAGGAAGGAAAGAGAAAGAAAGAAAGAAAGAAAGAAAGGAAGGAAAGAGAAAGAAAGAAAGGAAGGAAAGAGAAAGAAAGAAAGGAAGGAAAGAGAAAGAAAGAAAGGAAGGAAAGAGAAAGAAAGAAAGGAAGGAAAGAGAAAGAAAGAAAGGAAGGAAAGAGAAAGAAAGAAAGGAAGGAAAGAGAAAGAAAGAAAGAAAGAAGAAAGAAAGAAAAGAAAGAAAGAAAGAAGAAAGAAAGAAAGAAGAAAAGAAGAAAGAAAGAAAGAAAGAAAGAAAGAAAGAAAGAAAGAAAGAAGAAAAGAGAAAGAAAGAAAGAAGAAAGAAAGAAGAAAGAAAGAAAGAAAGAGAAAGAAAGAAAGAAAAGGAAGAGGAAAGAAAAAGAGAAAGAAAGAAAGAAAGAGAAGGAAGAAAGAAGAAAGAGAAAGAAGAAAGAAAAAGAGAGAAAGAAGAAAGAAGGAAAAGAAAGAAAGGAAGAGAAAGAAAGGAAAGAAAGAAAGAAAGAAGAAAGAAAGGAAAGAGAAAAAAAGAAAGAAGGAAGGAAAGGAAAGAAAGAAGAAAGAAAGAAAGAAAGAAAGAAAGAAAGAAAGAAAGAGAAAGAAAGAAAGAAGAAAGAAAGAGAAAGAAAGAAAGAAAGAGAAAGAAAGAAAGAAAGAAAGAAGAAAGAAGAGAAAGAAAGAAAGGGAAAGAAAAGAAAGAAAGAAAGAGAAAGAAAGAAGAAAGAAAGAAAGAAGAAAGAAAGAAAGAAAGAAAGAAAGAAAGAAAGAAAGAAAGAAAGAAAGAAAGAAAGAAAGAAAGAAAGAAAGAAAGAAAGAAAGAAAGAAAAAGAAAGAAAGAAAAAAAGAAAGAAAAGAGUCCUGGAGAGGAGACUCUGGAAAGCUUUAAGAGUUCCAGAUUUUUGCAUAAUGCGCUGGCAGACCCCUGA